UACAGAGGGUGCAAGCGUUGUUCGGAAUUAUUGGGCGUAAAGGGCGCGUAGGCGGUGCGGUAAGUCUGUAGUGAAAUCUCUGGGCUCAACUCAGAGUCUGCUGCAGAAACUGCCGUGCUUGAGUGUGGGAGAGGUGAGUGGAAUUCCCGGUGUAGCGGUGAAAUGCGUAGAUAUCGUAAGGAAGACCAGUGGCGAAGGCGGAUCUCUGGACAGUUACUGACACUGAGGCACGAAGGCCAGGGGAGCAAACGGG
rnacentral:rRNA from 1 species